AUACGUAGGUGGCAAGCGUUGUCCGGAUUUACUGGGCGUAAAGGAUGCGUAGGCGGAUGUUUAAGUGAGAUGUGAAAUACCCGAGCUCAACUUGGGUGCUGCAUUUAAAACUGGAUAUCUAGAGUGCAGGAGAGGAAAGCGGAAUUCCUAGUGUAGCGGUGAAAUGCGUAGAGAUUAGGAAGAACACCAGUGGCGAAGGCGGCUUUCUGGACUGUAACUGACGCUGAGGCUCGAAAGCGUGGGGAGC
rnacentral:rRNA from 1 species